AUUUCACAGCCCUUCUGAGCGGGUCGUCUAAUAACCAGAAGGUUGGCGGUGCAAUCCCGCUCCCACAGGCGUAAAACUGCCAUUGUGUUCUUGGGCAAGACACUUCACCCACCUUGCCUAAGUGUGAAUGUAGUGUGAGAGUGAAUGGUUGGUGGUGGUCGGAGGGGCCGAUGGCGCAGAUUGGCAGCCUCGCCUCCGUCGGUCUGCCCCAGGGCAGCUGUGG